UUUGCAGAUGUCAUAAAGGUAAGAAUUGAGAUGAGAUCAUACUGGACUAGGGUGGACCCUAAAUUCAAUGACUGGUGUCAUGAUAAGAAGCAGAAAUAGGGGCCAGCCCCCUAGCAUAGCUGUUAAAUUCGGCAUGCUCUGCUUGGGCAGCCUGGGUUUGUGGGUUAGGAUCUCAGGCACGGACCUACACCACUAGUCAGCCAUGCUGUGGUGGCAACAGUCAUAUAAAGUGAAGGAAGAUUGGCACAGAUGUUAGCUCAGGAUUAAUCUUCCUCAGGGGAAAAAUAAAAAAGAAAGAAACAGAUACACAGAUAUACAAGAAAGAAGGUCGUGUGAAGACGCAGGCAGAGACUGGAGCUAUGCUGCCACAAGCCACAGGAAUCCGGGAGCCACUAGAAGCUGGAAAAGCUUGGGAAAGCCCUGGACCUGUCUGACCGGCAAAGAAGCCAGUGGCCUUCCUUCCAAGUAUCUCCAAGAGGAGCAGGCUCAGAUGGACGUUAGGAGGCUUGGUCAGGCCCCAGCAGGAAACAGAAAGACACUCAGCUGGGAUUAUGAAGGUAAGUGAAUGAAUGGGCCAUUUGCAGAGGUGUGACAAGGUUAAGGGAAUCAAUAAGGACUGCUGAGGAGGCUGGAGAUGCGCCACAGCAGGAAGCUAUUCCCAGCCCCAGGCCUGAAGAGGGGCUUGGCAAAAAGGUAAGAGUUGGAGUAAGAAUUGGAGCCAUGCAUGGGGCUGCCCAGAAGGAACUACGGUCGUAGAAUCAAAGCCAGGCAGGGAAGGAGUGAGCAGAAUGAAUACUCCAACCAGUCUCUCACUGCUUCUGAUCUCCUCCCAAAGCUUCCUGUUAAUCUAACCCAAACUGGAAGGCAGAGAGCGAGGCAGCCCUGUGACACCAUCCACAGGGAUCCAUCUCCUAAAGCACAGAGCAGGCAGAAAAUGGGUCUUGGGUUGGGAGCAAAGCAAAAUCAUAAAGCCAGCAGAGGGGGUGUGGUAGAUGUUACACUCCAUCUACAAUAUGAAUCCUGAUUUCACUGCUUGUGCCUGUGUGAUCUUGGGCAAGUCACUAGCUCUCUGAGCCUGGUUCUCUUCUUGGGGGCUAAUCAUAGCCUCUUAAUGGAGUGGUUGUGAGGCUUAAAUGAGGUGCCUUGUGGGAAAGUGCCAAACACAUACUAGGUGCUUAUCAAGGUCAGUUUCCCCUCCUUCAGAGCCCCUCUCCCAAGCUCUGCUGAAUUGGAGGCACCAGGGCAGAGUGGAACGGAGAAAAUAUACAGGCUCAGAUCUGGACCCUGGCUCCACAGCUACCACCUGCAUGACCUUGAACAAGUCACUUGUCCUCUCUAACUUUGUUUUCUUAACAGUAAAAAGGGAAGAUCCUGCUCAUAAGGUUGUUGUGAGAAUUAGAAAUUGUCACCUAGUAAGGUAUUGGGCUCAUGGUAGGUAGACCUUGGAGUCACACUAAUUCAAACCCCAAGCCCCUUCUUGUUAAUCACGUGACCCUGGUCAAGUUUUUGAAUCUAUCUGAGCCUCAGUUUCUUCAUCUAUAACAUGUGGAUGAUAAAAACACCUUUCUCUUAGGGUUGUGAUAAUGAAAUGUAGUGGGCACUAAACAUACCAGGCGGAGUCAACCCUCAAAGUUUGCUGUUGGUAUUCAUCGUUACUGUCAUCAGUGCUGCAAUGUCCCUGUGUUUCUUUCUCCAGUCAAACAUCCAACCCCUCUCCUGAGACCCCAAAGUCUUUACUAGAGAAAGGCCAAUAGAGAAUGGGAGGAGGGGAGAUAGACAGCAAAUCCCAAGGGGAGGGGUUCAGGGCAGGCGGAUGGCUCAGCCUGGUUGACAAACACCCUUGCCCAGCACACGCAUGCAGAUAUGAGGUUCAGUUCAAUACUUGGCCUGUAACUCGUCCUGGCCCUCCUCCACCCGGUCACCCAGACCACAGGAAGGACUGUCCUGCUUUCCUAUCACCCCUAGGGCUGCCUAGUGCCUUGUUGUGACUCUGGCUGGCUUUCAGUUGGAUGAAAACAGAGGGAAGAGGGGAUUGUAUGGUAUGACUAGACCUGAAACUGUCUCCCUCCAAUAAUAACUUAUUAAACACUCCCUAUGAGCUAGGUACCGUUGGAGACUUAGUGUAAUUAACUCUCAUCAAUUUCAACAAUAUCAUGAAAUUAGUAACGUUGGAAUAGUAACAUUACUGAUAUUGGAAGUUGAAGCCCAGAGAGGUUAGGGAACAUGGCCAGCAUCACACAGACAGUAGUGGGUGGAGUCCUCAUUUGAAAUCAGGUCUGAUUGUUCCUAAAGGCCAAGCUUGGGCAGCCAUGCCAGGUGGGCUCCCAGAUGAAUGGCCCAUGUGUUGAACAUCAGUGGAGAUGAUGAAACAGGCGUGGAGAGGAUGAGUAACUUUCCCAAGGGCUGAACUAGCAUCUUAAUGCCUCACAUUUAAAAGCAUGGAACGUGAGCUUUGGAUCUGGCUCCCAGUUCAAGUGUUCUGACCAUCACUCUAGCUAUUAAUAUCCUGCAAUCCAUAGAAUUCAUGUUGGGGAACAUUGUCCUAGCAGAAGAGAUCCCUAGUUCCAUUGACCUAAUGGAAGAGAACCCGAGUUCCACAAACCCCUUAAUGGGCAUCCACUUCUGAGCAAUCAAUAAAG
rnacentral:lncRNA from 1 species